rnacentral:rRNA from 1 species
AGUGAACGCUGGCGGUAGGCCUAACACAUGCAAGUCGAACGGCAGCACAGUAAGAGCUUGCUCUUACGGGUGGCGAGUGGCGGACGGGUGAGGAAUACAUCGGAAUCUACUUUUUCGUGGGGGAUAACGUAGGGAAACUUACGCUAAUACCGCAUACGACCUACGGGUGAAAGCAGGGGAUCUUCGGACCUUGCGCGAUUGAAUGAGCCGAUGUCGGAUUAGCUAGUUGGCGGGGUAAAGGCCCACCAAGGCGACGAUCCGUAGCUGGUCUGAGAGGAUGAUCAGCCACACUGGAACUGAGAAACGGUCCAGACUCCUACGGGAGGCAGCAGUGGGGAAUAUUGGACGAUGGGCGAGAGCCUGAUCCAGCCAUACCGCGUGGGUGAAGAAGGCCUUCGGGUUGUAAAGCCCUUUUGUUGAGAAAGAAAAGCAGCAGGUUAAUACCCCGCUGUUCUGACGGUACCCAAAGAAUAAGCACCGGCUAACUUCGUG